rnacentral:rRNA from 1 species
UACGAAGGGGGCUAGCGUUGCUCGGAAUCACUGGGCGUAAAGCGCACGUAGGCGGCUUUUUAAGUCAGGGGUGAAAUCCUGGAGCUCAACUCCAGAACUGCCUUUGAUACUGAGAAGCUUGAGUCCGGGAGAGGUGAGUGGAACUGCGAGUGUAGAGGUGAAAUUCGUAGAUAUCAGGAGGAACACCAAUAGCGAAGGCAGCUCGCUGGGACGGUACUGACGCUGAGGCGCGAAAGCGUGGGGAGCGACAGGA